CAAAGCUACAGUGCUGCGCCAAAUCUGGCGCAGUACUGUAGCUCUCCCCCAAAAUGGCGCUGGGGAAAGCGUUCGGUUGGAGGAGGAACAGGAACAUUUUUUGCGUCAUUUUGAGGGAUAGCGUUCGGUUGGAGAAGCUCUUAAAUACCAAAACAACUCAGUGCCGAUUCGGACUAAUUUCUGUGUCCGACAAUUGAACUGCUCUCCCGUCUUCGUCUUGCUCGAUUCCGACGUCAGCACCACCAGUUGCGACGGCGCCACCUCCAGCUCCAGCCGCUCUAGUCCUUUCUUCCGACGAUCGAUGCUCUACUUACGUGAUCAAUGUAAGAAGCAAGCGUACACUCGAUGAAAACCUCAUUGACAUGGAGAUAAGAUUUAGACUGAUGUGUCAUGUGAUAUCAAUCGUGGGUGUUGAAGUAGGCGAUACAAUAUCAUUUAUUUUACUCUCUUAUUGUUGGGCUUGAAUCGUAGAAUUAUAUCCUUACAAGAUUCAGCUUAGGUUUUAUUCUCGAAUAACGCUUUCUAUAAUAUCAAUCUCAAUAGUA